AAUUCUACUUUUUCAUCUCUUUGCUUGUGUUCCCCUGGCUUGGGAAUGAAAUGCAAAGGCCUUUGGUGGGGUCUGAAUGAACUGGCCAAAGGAAUAAUGCUUGCUGAAUGAACCUGGCCCUCUGCAUAAGAGCUUUUGUCACACGAAUGAAAAUUGCCUCCAAAAGAAAGCAUGCUGAAUCCAAACAUGAUCAUAGCAGGGCCGCAGGAUGAAGACGAACUGGGAAGUGAAGAAGCCACUAGAAUAAACUAGAGUGAAGAAGCCACUAGAAUGAAGGAUAAGGGGCAACCAAGCAGGGUGGAGCUCAGAGUCUCAGAGAAUGUCCCCUGCCAAAAUCAUAGUUGACAGUUAACGGACAUAAUGGCCCUGUCUGGUGAAGGGGUUAUAUGCCCCUGGAAACCCAUUAAAUUGAUUUCUUGGCCUGUU